UAGCGCCUCGUGAAUUCAUCUCCGGGGGUAGAGCACUGUUUCGGCUAGGGGGCCAUCCCGGCUUACCAACCCGAUGCAAACUGCGAAUACCGGAGAAUGUUAUCACGGGAGACACACGGCGGGUGCUAACGUCCGUCGUGAAGAGGGAAACAACCCAGACCGCCAGCUAAGGUCCCAAAGUCAUGGUUAAGUGGGAAACGAUGUGGGAAGGCCCAGACAGCCAGGAUGUUGGCUUAGAAGCAGCCAUCAUUUAAAGAAAGCGUAAUAGCUCACUGGUCGAGUCGGCCUGCGCGGAAGAUGUAACGGGGCUAAACCAUGCACCGAAGCUGCGGCAGCGACACUGUGUGUUGUUGGGUAGGGGAGCGUUCUGUAAGCCUGUGAAGGUGUGUCGUGAGGCAUGCUGGAGGUAUCAGAAGUGCGAAUGCUGACAUAAGUAACGAUAAAGCGGGUGAAAAGCCCGCUCGCCGGAAGACCAAGGGUUCCUGUCCAACGUUAAUCGGGGCAGGGUGAGUCGACCCCUAAGGCGAGGCCGAAAGGCGUAGUCGAUGGGAAACGGGUUAAUAUUCCCGUACUUGGUGUUACUGCGAAGGGGGGACGGAGAAGGCUAUGUUGGCCGGGCGACGGUUGUCCCGGUUUAAGCGUGUAGGUGUGUGUUCCAGGUAAAUCCGGUUCACUUUAACACUGAGGCGUGACGACGAGGCACUACGGUGCUGAAGCAACAAAUGCCCUGCUUCCAGGAAAAGCCUCUAAGCAUCAGGUAACAUCAAAUCGUACCCCAAACCGACACAGGUGGUCAGGUAGAGAAUACCAAGGCGCUUGAGAGAACUCGGGUGAAGGAACUAGGCAAAAUGGUGCCGUAACUUCGGGAGAAGGCACGCUGACACGUAGGUGAAGUGAUUUACUCAUGGAGCUGAAGUCAGUCGAAGAUACCAGCUGGCUGCAACUGUUUAUUAAAAACACAGCACUGUGCAAACACGAAAGUGGACGUAUACGGUGUGACGCCUGCCCGGUGCCGGAAGGUUAAUUGAUGGGGUCAGCGCAAGCGAAGCUCCUGAUCGAAGCCCCGGUAAACGGCGGCCGUAACUAUAACGGUCCUAAGGUAGCGAAAUUCCUUGUCGGGUAAGUUCCGACCUGCACGAAUGGCGUAAUGAUGGCCAGGCUGUCUCCACCCGAGACUCAGUGAAAUUGAACUCGCUGUGAAGAUGCAGUGUACCCGCGGCAAGACGGAAAGACCCCGUGAACCUUUACUAUAGCUUGACACUGAACAUUGAGCCUUGAUGUGUAGGAUAGGUGGGAGGCUUUGAAGUGUGGACGCCAGUCUGCAUGGAGCCGACCUUGAAAUACCACCCUUUAAUGUUUGAUGUUCUAACGUGGACCCGUUACCCGGGUUGCGGACAGUGUCUGGUGGGUAGUUUGACUGGGGCGGUCUCCUCCUAAAGAGUAACGGAGGAGCACGAAGGUUGGCUAAUCCUGGUCGGACA
rnacentral:rRNA from 1 species